CUGCACCGCUCUUCUCCUGUCCGCUGCCAUCUGAGAGGUGGUCUUCGCCUUCCGCCAUGAUUGUGAGGCCUCCCCAGCUACGUGAAACUGCCUUCUCCCUGUAACCAAUUGCAGAAGUAAAAACUCUUCUUCCCCAGUUCAUCUAUAUCUCAUUAUUGGCCGGCGAGAAUAAGUAGCCUGACCUUCAGUGUGGUCCAGGAACACCUACAUGAAGAUAGGACUGCCCCAAGCGUUUAGAGCCUUCUAUCCAGAACCACACAGGUCAAGCUGAAGCUCCCAAGAAGAUAUGCCACUGCAGGUUGAGAAGUGCUCAGACAGAAGAGGUCAGACACCCUCCAAUCCUGCCGUCCUGGAGCAAUGGGGUGCCCUGCUGGUGACCUUGAUUCUCUCUGCUCCAGCCCAUCUCUAGCCCAUGAGGGUGAUACUCUCUUUUGUCAAAAGGAAGUCUCAGCAGGGGACAGUGGCUUACACCUGUAAUCCCAGCGCUUUGGGAGGCCGAGAUGGGAGGAUCACCAGGAGUUCAAGACCAA